ACGCCGUAAACGAUGUCGACUUGGAGGUUGUUCCCUUGAGGAGUGGCUUCCGGAGCUAACGCGUUAAGUCGACCGCCUGGGGAGUACGGCCGCAAGGUUAAAACUCAAAUGAAUUGACGGGGGCCCGCACAAGCGGUGGAGCAUGUGGUUUAAUUCGAUGCAACGCGAAGAACCUUACCUACUCUUGACAUCCACAGAAUUCGGCAGAGAUGCCUUAGUGCCUUCGGGAACUGUGAGACAGGUGCUGCAUGGCUGUCGUCAGCUCGUGUUGUGAAAUGUUGGGUUAAGUCCCGCAACGAGCGCAACCCUUAUCCUUUGUUGCCAGCGGUUCGGCCGGGAACUCAAAGGAGACUGCCAGUGAUAAACUGGAGGAAGGUGGGGAUGACGUCAAGUCAUCAUGGCCCUUACGAGUAGGGCUACACACGUGCUACAAUGGCGCAUACAAAGAGAAGCGACCUCGCGAGAGCAAGCGGACCUCAUAAAGUGCGUCGUAGUCCGGAUCGGAGUCUGCAACUCGACUCCGUGAAGUCGGAAUCGCUAGUAAUCGUAGAUCAGAAUGCUACGGUGAAUACGUUCCCGGGCCUUGUACACACCGCCCGUCACACCAUGGGAGUGGGUUGCAAAAGAAGUAGGUAGCUUA
rnacentral:rRNA from 1 species